GGCAGCAGUCUCCCCUCGUGGAGGAAUGCUGGGUCUGACCUCUUACACACAGUGGACUCAAAAAGGGUGAGGACACAGGACAGCCUCAGUUACAAACUCCAUGGGAUCAAACAGCUUCUUCAGCAGAAAAGGUUUCUCCUUGAAAGAGAACGUUCUGCCUGUUGAUCAGAAUGGACUUCGGAGAUUGAACUCAGGUGGGAGGACAUGGACUCAACCACGGGACCUCAUCCAAUUAACUGCCUGAAGUCCUCCCCAAACCAAAGAGCUGGCCCAACAGCGGACAGGAUGCUGGGAUCCUCACUGUGUUUCCUUUUCCCCAAUCGCAGGUAGACGCUGGGAGCAAGGACAGCUCUCUCCACGAUGACCUGAUGGAAGAGCUACUACCCACUUUGAGGGCCGAGGAGGAAACUCUGACUCUCCCUCAGGAGGCGGCGACUGGAUACGCCCCAUAUGCUUAUUCCCCCAUCACUCCCUUUAGGGGGACAGAUCUAACUCAACAAGGUAGGGUUUUCUCUCCUCCUUUGGUCUGGAGAGCUUCCCCCCUUCUGAGUUCCUCUCGGGAACAGAGGCUGGGGCGGACUGAACAAAUGGAGUGUCCUGCAGAAACCCAGGACCCUGUGCUACAGUCCCUGCAAACCAGUAAGUCAUUCGGGCGGUGUGCUUGGUGCGUCGGAGGGUUGGGGCUCGCUUUCGCGUGGGUCGAAGCGACGGGACCGGGCAUGUGGGUGUGUGGACUCCGUCGAGUUUCACCAGAAGACAUCUCCCACUGAAUGGACUUGAGGGCACGGGUCAAAGUUUCAAAGCCAAACCUCCUUCAUCCCCGCUGCACACACCCCGCUAGGAUACCACAUUCCUCGCUGACCACAGCUCCACCUGGAGGGUUGCUCAGGAUUCCCUUUCCUCAGACAGGGACGGGGAGAAAGGAAGGGGCCCACAUCUGUCCUAGCUUGGGACGUUUCUCAGACAGGGUCAAAACACAAAGGAAUCAGAAGCUACUUUAGUCGACCCAAACAUCACCACCAGCCUUACAAAAACGCUCCCAUCUUGAAUGCACAUAGAGGGAAGGCUCACUGGCAAAUGGCAAUGGCCAGGAAAGCUUCAUCAUUAGCUCGGGGCCCGAUCCGACUUCCUGACAAUCUGCUACAUGGCCAGGUUAGAGAGUGCCCUUCUCUCGCCUGGCCUCCGCGCUCUCGUCAACUUGCCGGAUCUUGACUGGGGGAGCUGGGUCCUGGGAAACUGGGUCCCCCAGACUCCAAGGACACACCCACAUGCCACAGGAAAGGAAAGACUGGAAAGAAUCAGCACUUUGUGGAUGGGGACUCUGUUGGAAUGGUCAGAUCUCAGUACGUAGAAAUCUUGGGUCUUUGUUUUUCCUGACCCUGCAUGACUCAGGGACAAAUAGAAACCUCUAGGGUACUUGUGCUUGCAUUGAAUGCAACCCUGCCACACAGUGUUCUUCUGCAGAAAAUCAAUCUCCUAUAAGAGGUGAGAGAUAGGUGGGAGUGGCCAAAAAACGGUCUUGACAAUGACCAUGACACAGUCUCUGGUUGGAGGAACUUGCCUGUCAGUAUGGAACGUGUCUCUUAGUGUUUACCCUUUCUGCUUGAAGAGGUCACCCUGAUUCCACUCCCUCUAGCUCAAGUUCAGAGUCAAUAUUUCUCCCUCCGUUCCUGCUCCUUGCCCUGACCUCUCUCGAUGCAGCAGCAGCUUGCUCAGUCCAUACCCACGCAACCCAACGUCGCCAUACACUCCCGGGCACACCCACCCCAAGCGAAACUCCCUGAGCUCUUCCUACCGAGCUCCACCAGUGGACUGACCAUUCUGUGGAUCUCUCCCUAGCUUGGCUGGAUGGACAGGCGGGUGAACGGUCAACAAGAACAAAAGAGGAAGACACACCGUUUUACACCAGAGUGGUGUCCCUGCUGGAAGGGGAUGGCGGUAAGUAUUCUGUACUCUAGAGUCACUCACUUGUUUGCAACAACCUGGAAAAGGGCCAAGGUCGGGGCUUCGUCGCAGCCACGAUGAGAACCACCCUGAUUCCAGGUCUGGCGGGUCUGAGAAGGGUGGUCAGGGUAACAGAAAGGGAUUUUCUGGGGAAAGACCCGUGGCUUCAUGGCCCUGUCCCCGGAAACUACUGCGCUGCUCUUAGGUGGUGCAGGUUUGGGGGCAGGCAGUAGCUGUGCCUUGGAGAUGGACUAUUUCACAGCUACUCCAGGCCCUGUAGCUCCAACAGGAGGCAGAGCUUCUAUUCAUGUCCCUGCUCCUCUCCAGGACCUUUCAUCCUCCAUCCAGGAAGGGCCCACUACAGCUCAGUCCAUACUGAUGAGCUCCCCACCUCCACACACUUGUCUACACGUGCACGCCAAGCAAAGCUUCCCGAGUGAUUCCCGAAGAGUCCAAUCGGGGUCCCGACACUCUCUGUGUGUAUCCACCUAGAUCCCCUCGAUAGUCUGUUCGCUGACCUUGACGUGGACAGCACAGAA